GAAAAUGCGAUAUGCAAUGUGAAUUGCAGAACCAUGAAUCAUCAGAUCUUUGAACGCAUCUGGCGCCGAUACACUCGGCAUACUUGUUUCAGUGUGCUCAAACAACUAUUCACUACUAAAAUGUGAGAGAAGUUCUCUCAUCAAGAUAGUGCUCCUUGCAGCAGUCACAUGUAUUUGUGAGCUUCAAUGGAGAUAAAAGACUUAAUGUCACCUGAAAUCAAGUAAGAUAACCCGCUGGACUUAA
rnacentral:misc_RNA from 1 species